CAGUAGCCACGGUAAUACGAAGGGGGCUAGUGUUGCUCGGAAUCACUGGGCGUAAAGGGCGCGUAGGCGGCCAUUCAAGUCAGAGGUGAGAGCCUGGAGCUCAACUCCAGAAUUGCCUUUGAUACUGUUUGGCUCGAGACCGGAAGAGGUUAGUGGAACUGCGAGUGUAGAGGUGAAAUUCGUAGAUAUUCGCAAGAACACCAGUGGCGAAGGCGGCUAACUGGUCCGGUUCUGACGCUGAGGCGCGAAAGCGUGGGGAGCAAACAGGAUUAGAUACCCCAGUAGUCCCUGUCUCUUAUAC
rnacentral:rRNA from 1 species